UGGCCUGUAGUGCUGGCUGAUAAGCCGCGGUCACCUUCCACGGUUGUGCUACUGCCCAUAGGAUGGCCUGCAGAGUGUGCUCCUGCACGUUGUGCUUGGCCAUGGACGAAGACUACAAAGGCGACGCCGGUGGGCGACGACGGUGUUGAUUGGAUCGGAAACAAGCAUACAAAGUGACAACAACAAAUGGAGAUACUUGGGACCUACCACUACAGCAACUAAACAAAGGAAGCACGAGAGCUUGAUCUAGAGAGCCAGAAAAGUCUCACCAAAGGUUUCAAAAGCAAGAACCUGAAGCAAAAGCAAGAACCUGAAGUGAUGAACCAGACAAUCUACUUGCUAGAAGAAACUGGUUGGACGCCGAUGAUGAUGAGGGUUAACAUCAGUAGCUGCAACAACUCCGAUACCGCUCGCGCCACGUCUUCUCCAUUCGUAUACGUGGGCUCAAGUAGUCACAACAAAGUACACUUAUCACUCAUACAGUGAACGGCAAGAUUGUCACAAGGCCACCUUCAGGUUGUAUGAACUCAUUGUUCAGUUUGACUUGGCGCUGAGGAACAUAUAUAUACAAGCAAAAAGCAUUUGCAUAGGUUGGUAAUUGUCUUAGUAAGUUCUGUUCAUUUCACAUUGCAAGUACAAGCUUGAGAAUUGAAUAAAUUUUUUACCUUGCUACUGCGCUGAAUUACAUGACCGAGCCAUCUCAACAUGACAAUGUGUGUAUUUAUCCUUAUUAAACUCAGUUACCAGCUCCAGGGCAAGAUGAGGACCAAUUCAGGAUCUUUGAGGAGCCCAAGAAUGAACAUGGCCAUCUGAAAAAUACCAUGUGUCCAGGUCUCGAAUGAGCACCACAACAGAGGAAAAGGGCAGCUUGAAAGACUCAUAUAGAAUGUUCAUACCUAUAGUUCAAAGCAAAAUGAGAAUUUAGACCUUAAUAACCAUGUCCAGCUGUACCUCAAUAAUUUACAAGGAAACCAAAAUCAAAUUAUUAAUUUUUGACUUACAUUCCUAUGAGUGCAAUAGUAGCAGCGAUGUUUGACUGUCAUUAGCAUCUUCAUUGACAAUAAAUAUUACAGGCACAUUAUAUAUUUUACAUUGCCUGGCCACAGAGCUG